UGGUGAAAACAAUUUUUUCUGGACAACCACUUCCUACCGAACUGAUGCUUAAGAACAAUUGUAUUUGUCUCGCUCCUGAUGCUAACCUCAUUAGAGAUGUCAGUGUGAAGUAUAAGACUGAAACAAACUCUGUGAUUCAGCUAUAUUUUCAAAUUGAGCGGGCAGUGGGAUUGAGUCCACCAGAUUGAGAGCAUUAAUAGAUCUUUUUGAUGAAAUUAUAGACGAACCAUUUUACGAUCAACUAAGGACGAAGGAGCAGCUGGGAUAUGUUGUUCAGUGUGACUGGGAGGUGAUAUUUGGUGUUUUUGGCUUUUAUUUCAUAGUUCAGUCGUCAGAGUACAACCCAAUCUACUUGCAGUGGAGAGUUGACAACUUUAUCAAUGGUCUGGAAGACAUUUUGUUCUGGAGGCUGAUCGCUGUGGAUAGAAAGAGAGUGGGAGAGAGGGAAAUGUGCUGUUUUAGGGAGAGCGAGGACAAAGAAAGGCAUCCUUGACAGCCACAGAGCUGUAGUAUCAUCGCGUCCUGCUGGUUCUAUUCACCCAGAUGCAGUAGCUUUCUUUUCUCCAGAAGAGGUUCACCAAUUUAUUAAAAAACUGGAACUUGUUUUUUGGGCUCAGUUCUCCGGCCAAGCAUGUUUCGCAAUGUGGUAUCGGGCUUCCGCCACCGUUGGGCACAAGGAAAUGAAAAGUUAAACAACAAGGCAAGGUUGGUAGGGUGCUGUGCUAUUCUUCCGAUGCCCCACCAAAUGGCACAGACUUUUGAGGGAUUGGAAGAAAGACUGUGAACCGACUCAUAAAAUCACUUAUAAGUAUGGGAGAGAAGUUCUUACAUAUGAUGGGUUAACAGCAACAGGGAUACUGGUAUCCCGUGAUUAUCAAAAGAUAGUUAGGAGUCUACUUUUCAACAUGAUAGAGCUAGAUUGUGAGAAUUAAAAUUUUGAUCUUAGCUUGGAUUCAAUCAGCGUAUCUAGAGGUGUUGCACGAAUCACUCCUACGAAUGUGAUUUCCGGUUCAAGAUUUGAUUUCUUGAAGUUUGAGACGUUGAUUAAGGAGUUGUUCCCACUAGGCUUGCUUUGGGAAUUGAAUGACAUGAUCGACCAACUUCUUUCUGAUCGGUGAGUUGACUUAAAAUGAAUUUGUUGACUAAUUUUAUGGUUAAGGUUUAUAAUUUAGUAAAUUGUAGUCUACUUUGACUUUUUUCUUUUUCAGUGAUAUUGACUCGAUCCUGAUGCAUUCUUUUAUUGAGAGAAACAUCCAUCGCCUAUAUCUCUUUUUAAGGAUCAGUGAGCCAGAUGAUUCUGAAGUGAGGGUGCAUAACUCAACAAUGAACAGAUGGUGGUCAUUUAAAAGAGAUACUUAUAGUAAUGUGGUGUGGUUGGUUACGGUAGAGAGAAACAAAAGUUCAAAUGCAUUGGAUCAUCUUCUGUGGACCCACAAUCUUGGAGUGUUUAUACCACCUGAAAUUAGUGCUUAUCUUGCACCCAUAGAUCUUAAAAGGAUACGCAAGCCAUCCGAGUUUCUACGGAUCUCAAGGCAUGUUAUUGUUCAUCAACUUUCUCAGGUAUGAAUUAUUUUGCAUUUUAAUUCAGUUUUGUUUCCCUAAUUGUGAGUUACAUGUGUGUAGUUAAAUAUAUUAUAAUAUUUGUUUCCUAUGUUAUAUGUAGCAAUUCUAUAAAAUGAAAUUAGGGAGUACUGAAAUGAAGUUUCAUGAAGUUGAUACGGUUUUGAGCUUAGCCUGACGUUAGCAUUUGAUUUUUGCCAACAAUUUUGCAAUUGCAUUUGAGAAACAAACAUGCCUAGCUUUUGUUACGCUUAGCUCUAGUGGUCAUGUUCCAUGGACGCAUGUAAAUCGUGCGUUAUGAGAAAAUUUUGAUUUUAGGAAUGUGUGAAGUUUGAGAGUUUGUCAAAUAUUAUAAUAUUAAUGUAACCAUUUUAACAUUUGGGCUGAUUUUUGAGUUACAUUCUAACCACUAGAGCUGGGCGUAACGUAAGCUGGGCAUGUUUGUUUCUCAAAUGCAGUUGCAAAUUGUUGGCAAACACCAAAUGUUGGUGCCAGGCUAAGCACAAAAUCGUAUCAACUUCAUGAAGCUUCAUUUUAGCACUCCCGAAUUUCAUUUUAUAGAGUUGCUACAUAUAACAUAAGAAACAAAUAUUAGAAUAUAUUUAACUACACUCACAAUUAAGGAAAUAAAACUAAAUUAAAAUGCAAAAUAAUUCAUACUCGAGGAAGUUGAUGAACAAUAACAUGUCUUGAGAUCCGCAGAAACUCGGAUGACUUACGUAUUCUUUAAGAUCUAUGGGUGUAAAGAUAAGUACUAAUUUCAGGUGGUGUAAACACUCCAAGAUUGUGGGUCCACAUAAGAUGAUCCAAUGCAUUUGAACAUUUGUUUCUCUCUGCCGUAACCAUCCACACCACAUUACUAUAAGUAUCUCUCUUAAAUGGUACCAUCUUUUCAGUGUUAAGUUAUGCACCUUCACUUUAGAAUCAUCUGGCUCACCGAUCCUUGAAAAGAGAUAUAGGCUAUGGAUGUUUCUCUCAAUAGAAGAAUGCGUCAGGGGUCGAGUCAAUAUCACUGAACAAGAAAAAAGUCAAAGUAGACUACAAUUUACUAAAUUAUAAACCUUAACCAUAAAAUUGGUUAACAAAUUCAUUUUAAAUCAACUCAUCGAUAAGAAAGAAGUUGGUCGAUCAUGUCAUUCAAUUCUCAAGGCAAGCCUAGUGGGAACAACUCCUUCAUCAACGUCUUAAACUUCGAGAAAUCAAAUCUCGAACCGGGAAUCACAUUCGUAGGAGUGAUUCGUGCAACACCUCUAGAGAAUCCAAGCUAAGCUCAGAGUUUUUUUUUCUCACAGUGUAGCUCUAUCAUGUUGAAAAGUAGACUCCUGACUAGCUUUCGAUAAUCACGGGGUACUAGUAUCCCUGGUGCUGUUAACCCAUCAUAUGUAAUAACUUCUUUCCCAUACUAUAGUGAUUUUAUGAGUCGGUUCGCAGUCUGUAGAUACCUAUAACUAUGUCACCAAGCAUAAGUAACCCUUUCUUAGUGGGCCCACGAGCCAUGGUGGGACCUGACCACGAUAUACAUCUCGUACCCCAACGCCCAAGCUAUCCCGUGGUUGUCGAAGGAGGCCAAGACCUCACCGGGAGGUCACCCUCUCGACAUAAUCAAUAUGCUUCAUGAUAAGCUUUUAUACUUCAUGUAAAGGAAGGAGUCUCUCUUCUCUAUAAAAGGGGACUCCUUCCCCAUUCACUCAACACAUUAUUGCAACUCUUGUAAUCCUCCCAAACACUAGUAGAGCUUACAAGUGGAUGUAGCCUCCUCAAAUCGGGAGGUGAACCACUAUACUUCUCGUGUUCAAACUAACACUAACAUCUCAAUUCUCUAACGUUAACUUAUAUCGUCCAAAUAUAAGUGCACCCGAUUUACUAA